CCAAUAGAAAGCUAGGGUUCCGAUCGGCUACGCCAGCAGCCGAUGCCUGGUCCGAGAGCCUUCGACCUUCUUGGCGCCGAUAGAUUGGCAGCAGCAUCUACCGGCAGGGGGUUACACGGCGGGACAAAAGCCCGGGAGGA
rnacentral:sRNA from 2 species